rnacentral:lncRNA from 1 species
CGGUUUUGGAGACGUUUACAAAGCCAUUCUUCAAGAUGGAAGCAAAGCGGCUAUCAAGAGAGGCAAGAGUGGUUCAGGACAAGGACUAUUGGAGUUUCAAACAGAGAUUCAAGUCCUGUCGAGAAUCCGGCACAGGCACCUCGUUUCUCUAACGGGUUACUGCGAAGAGAACUCGGAGAUGAUCCUUGUCUACGAGUUUAUGGAGAAAGGUACGCUUAAAGAGCAUCUAUACGGCUCGGAUUUGCCUUCACUGACAUGGAAACAGAGACUAGAGAUUUGCAUCGGAGCAGCUAGAGGUUUGCAUUAUCUCCACAGUGGCUCAGAAGGAGCAAUCAUUCACAGAGAUGUCAAAUCCACAAACAUACUACUAGACGAGAACACCGUAGCCAAAGUCGCGGAUUUCGGGCUCUCAAACUCGCGGUUCGUAAUCAAGAUCCAAUCAAUAUCAGCACUAACAUCAAAGGAACAUUCGGUUACCUCGAUCCUGAGUAUCUGCAGACACACAUCUUGACGGAGAAAUCAGAUGUUUACGCUUUCGGAGUCGUUCUCCUCGAGGUCCUGUGCGCGAGAUCGGCUCUCGAUCCUUCUCUUCCUCACGAGGAAGUGAAUCUAGCGGAGUGGGCGAUGUUCUGCAAAUCCAAAGGGAUAAUCGAUGAGAUCUUAGAUCCGAAAUUGAUAGGUCAGAUCGAGCCGAGUUCGUUGAGGAAAUACAUGGAAAUCGCGGAGAAGUGUUUGAAAGAGUACGGCGACGAGAGGCCGAGCAUGGGGGAUGUGAUCUGGGAUCUGGAGUAUGUUCUUCAGCUUCAGAUGAUGCCGAUUCGCAGAGAGCCUCACGAGGAUAGCGCCGCGACGAUCUCCGGCGGCGGAGGCGAAAGCUCGUUGGUGAUUCCGAGGUUGAUGGUGAGUGAUUCGUUUAGCUCAAACUCGAUUGUUCAGAAGAACGAAGGGAAGAGUAGCUAUGGAGGUACAGAUUCAUCGGAGAGUCGAGUUUUCUCCCAAUUGAAGAUCUCCGAAGCAAGAUAAAAUUUCCUAUGAAACAUUCUGAUUUGAAAAGCGUCUGGUUUAAAGCUUUUGAUAUUAAAAACCGGUUAUUGCCGGUUUAAAUAUAAUCAUUUUAAAACAUAUGCAAAGUAACGAGUCAAUUGAAUGUAAUAUAAAAUUAAAACCCGGUUAUCGUCGGUUUAAAGUUAAUUAUUCUAAGACAAAUGCUAAUUUCCGAAUCGAAAAACAAUUCAAUUUAAUUAACCGAUAAAAACCUAAUUUCAAGAAAAGUUCUGAUUUGAUAAGUGAUUGGUUUAAUUUUUGAAAUUGAAACCCGGUUCCUGCCGGUAUAACGACUCAGCUGUUUGUGAUGUCGGCGAUGAACGAGUCCAGAUUCCGAGCCGAUGAUCCACCAGACGCCAACGCCGAUCUCGCCGCGUGCUUCAGCUCCGUCACUCUCCUCCUCAUAUCCGCGGCGGCAGAUCCUUCCCUCACGGCCUCAAUACAUCUCUCCACCUCUUCAACCUUAAGCUCUCCGUCGACAGCGUCGUUCCUCAUCCUCACUCCGAUCCCGAACACAUCCACAAGCAAUCUCGCGUCAAGCGGCUGAUCAAUCCAGCUCGGGUACGCCACCACCGGAACACCAGUCACCACCGUCUCCAUCGUCGAGUUCCAUCCACAGUGCGUGACGAAACAAGAGAUCGCCACGUGACUCAGUAUCCACUCUUGUGGACCCCACUCAAUCACAAUACCUUGACCUUCUCUAACCAUCUCCUGCAAAACGUCGACGUUUUCGCCUUUCUCCUUUGGCCUAAUCACCCAGAGAAACGAAACUCCUCUGUUUCUCAGAGCCGUUGCUAUGCUCUUAACUUGAGUCUCCGAAGAUUUCAGCAAACUUCCAAAAGAAAUGUAAACAACCGAAGACCUAGCUUGCUUGUCAAGCCACUCCAUACAAUACUCAUCCGAUUUCCACAUAUCAAGAUUUUUACCAUCUAGGGUUUUGUCUUCUUCAUCAGCUCCCAACAGAAAUGGAGAAACCAGAGGACCAAUUGGGAUCAUGGGUUUUAAACCAGACAUCGAUUCGAUUAUCUCUGAUUCGAGCUCGUAGAACGAAUUAACCAAAACCCAUUUCACAUCUUUCAAGCAAUCGACGAACUCCACCAUUAGGCUAUUGAAAUGACUUCCUGAAGAAGGCAAGAGAAACGAAGGGAGAUCUCCAACUUCCAACAAUGGUAAACCUGGCAAUUCAACCGUUUGAUUCAAAUCUUCGAGAUUCUCAGGGAAAGCAUUCGUCUUCAUGUAGUAACGGUAAUAAACCGAGAAAGCUCCACAAGCUUCGAUCCAGAGGAUUGCACAGGGGAUGUUAUAUGCAGCUGCAACACUUGGAACCCAUGGAGCAAAAGGCACAGUGACGAUGCAAGAGAAUCUCUUUGAUUCGACGAUUUUAGACAAGUUCUUGGCUCCGACUUUUUUCAACGAUGGUAUGAGAGAAUCUGCGGCUCUUGUGUGGUCUUUAGGCAGACCGUCGGGGAAGAAAGCAAGGUCCACUGGGCUACGGUGAUGUUCUUCGGCGGCGGUGGUGGUGGAGAGGAGGUCACGGGUUUUCUCGGUGGUAGCGAGAGUGAAGCUAAGGUUUGGUCGUGAGAGAUGUUUGGCGAAUUUGAGCAUUGGAUUAAGAUGACCUUGAAAUGGUAGUGCUACCAAUAGAACAUGUGUUUCUUGACCCUCACUAUUUCUCAUUUCUGCUUUGUUUAGAGGUGUUACUUAUUAGACUUGAGUUGUGUAUGAGAUUGUGUGUAACUUGUAAUUGUGGUGGUAUAUAUAACAAUGGUUGCUUAACGAUAGAUUUUUGCUUAAAAUGAAGUUAUUAAGUGAGAUUUUGGUAAGAAAAAUCUAUAUAUAGUAAAAAUUGGUAACCCAAUAAAAUGUAAUAGAUUCAAAAGUUACCACGUUUAUUAGCACCCUGCGCCUUGUCCUUAACUCAAUUCAAAUCUUGUAUAAUUGUUGACCAAAAAAACACGAUAUAUAUACCAAUUCUAGUAUGGUUAAAGUCAACAGUCAUUACUAAUGAUUUAUGAAUCUUUUUGUAUAGUGUGACACUGAGAUCAUUGUAAUUUGUUAAUGACAAUCUAUAAACUGUAAUUGGUAAUCCAAUAAACGUUGGUCAAUAAAUUCAAAUUUAAUCAUGUGUUUCUAUGCUCUUGUAAAUAAAUAAAUAUAUGUUAUUUUCAAUUGUGUUAUGGUUAUGAUUAGAUUUAUAUAAAAAAUAUGGUUAUGAUUAGAUUUAUAUAAAAAAAAACAGGUCUCAAUUCAUUCGGAUCAGUCUCGUUUGUAUCUGUCUCACUUUUAGAUUUGAAAUCCGUUAAGCUCUAUUUAGUUUUUGGAACUAACAGAGUAAUCGGUUUAUACAUGCCAAAAUUCUUUUAAUCUAUUUAAAACCAUUUACGAUAUGAUGCUUAAACAUUCUUAAUAUUUAUUUUAAAUUAUAUAAACUAAGCUUUUGGAAGCUAAUCAGAAGCUAACACACCAGUAUAAUUACCAUUGUUUUUUUAUUAAAUAAUAAUUACCAAUGUUUCAAGGCAUGCUUGAAUAUUCCACUAAGAAAAAUCAUCGAAAUUGUUUAUACUAAUCUAAAAUCCUAGCAAAGGUGGGUGAAUCUUUUUUUUUAAAUAGUUAUACAUAUUUUCGAGAUGACAAAAUUUAACAAUAUGAUAAAAUCAUAUGAACACUCGAACAUUUAUGUAGAUUUUAGUUAUGUUAUAUAUCCAAGAAGAAAUGAAUAAUAUUAAGUAACAUCUAUUACAAAUAACAUAUCAAUUGGUAACAUCAGAUGGCAAAUCAAAUAACAUCAUUACGUAGUAAAUUCAUGUGCAUGCGUUACUAGCUAAGCUUGUAUUCACUUUAUAAAAGAAAAUACAAAAUAGCAAUAGCAAUAAUGAAGGGAAGAGCAGCUACGGAGGUACAGAUUCAUUGAUCGAAGAGUCGAGUUUUCUCCCAAUUGAAGAUCUCUGAAGCAAGAAAACAAAUAAUCUCUUGAAUCCUUCUGAUUUAAAUACCGACUGGUUUUAACUUUUGAUAAUAAAAUCCGGUUAUUGCCGGUUUAAAUAUAAACAUUUUUUUAAGUCGACAAAAAAAAACAUUUCAAAACAGAUGUAAAGUGAGUCAACACUAUGAUCGAUGACUUUCUAGUUGAUGAGAAACGUGCACAAAAAGAAAAGGGUAACACUAUGAUCGAUCACUUGCUUUCUCUCCAAGAAACUCAACCAGAUUAUUAUACGGAUGUCAUCGUCAAAGGACUCAUAGUUGUAAGUAUUGAGGAAUACAUUUAAUACAUCACUAACAACUAACAAGGCUAACUAAGCUUUUUAUAAUGACUAAUUCUUGACUUCUAUUUGGAUAGGUUAUGAUAUUUGCCGGAAAUGUAACAAGAACGUUAGAAUGGGCGAUGCUAAAUCUGUUGAACCAUCCAGAAGUACUAAAGAAAGCGAGGAUUGAAAUCGAUACAAACAUUGGUUUGGACAGGUUAAUAGAUGAACAGGAUGCGAAAAGUCUUCCUUACCUCCAAUGCAUCAUAUCAGAGAUUUUUCGACUUUACCCGGCAGCUCCUUUACUUGCUCCUCAUAGGGCUACAGAUGAUUGUAUAGUUGGAGGCUACGACUUCCCUCUUGGCACGACAUUAAUCGUGAACGUAUGGGCCGGCCAUUCACCGAGACCCAAACAUAUGGUAAGAGCCAGAAAAGUUCAAGUUAGAGCGGUUCGAGAAGAAAGGAGAAGAACAAAAGUUGAUGCCGUUUGGAAUGGGACGACGAGCUUGUCCCGGGUCUGGUCUAGCUCAACGGGUCGUGAGUUUGGCUCUCGGAUCGAUGAUUCAAUGUUUUGAAUGGGAGAGACUUGGAGAAGAAUAUGUUGACCUAAGCGAAGCAACCACAAUGCGUCCAACGACGCCGUUGCUAGCCAUGUGUAGAGCUUGUCCUAUUGUUCAUAAGAUUUUCAAUACUUCUUUUUGAGAUGUCACUCCCUUUUUAAAAAAUAUGUAUAUCCAUUUAUGUUAUAUCCAUUUUGAGAUGUAAUUAAAAUGAAAGACAAAGACUAGUCUUUGAUUUGCCUUAAGAUUUUCCAUUUUAUUAAAAUUCAAAAACUAUUUUUUUUUUUCAAAAACCAAAAUUUAGAAGUUAAAUGCUACUCCAUUAUCAAAUAAACUCACUUCUAAAUUUCUAUGAAUGAGGAGUAGUUUUUUACUUUGAGAAAGUGUGAAGAAAUUUUUCCAAUUUCUUAGUUUUUGUUUGUUUUUUUUUGAGAAAGGGUUAAGAAAAGGGAGCUUGUUUUAUAAUGGAAUCUCUCAUGCAAUUAUUCCCACCUGUCACUAGAGAUAUGUUCGUAACUUCGUAACGUCUCAUGCAAUUACUGACUAAUAAACAUGUGUGAUAAGUCACCAUUAAUAUUUAUUGUCUAUUUCUUUUGCUUUUAAUUAUUAGGGUUUUGAGUAGAAAUUUGUUUCUUUCUAAUAUUAUAGACAAUAUAUAUUGCUAGCGUUUACGUUUUUUAUUUUGGUUCAAAACAUAGUGGUUAAAAAUAAACAAAUCAUAAAUUUUUAUUAUUAGUCAUUAAUGAAUGAGAGACGUUACGAACAUAUCUUUAGUUUAUUAAAAAAAAAAAAAGAUAUCUUUAGUGACAGGUGUGAUAAUUGCAUGAGAGUUUUCAUUAUAAACUAAGCUACAUAAACUAAUAACUCCCACGUUCGAUUCAACACAUUUACAACAAGAAGAAGUUCUUGAUCUAAAAUGGAAACUUAUUUUCUUAUUUUAUCCCUCGCCAUCUUCUUUUUCAUUUCUCUUAAACUUUUGUUUAAUAAACCGCAUAACAAGUUUAACCUACCACCAAGUCCGGCGAGGCCACUACCGUUGAUUGGACACCUUCACCUCCUGAAGCAGCCUCUCCACCGCACAUUCCUAUCUUUCUCUCAAUCCCUCGGCAGUGCCCCAAUUUUCUCCCUCCGUCUUGGAAACCGUCUCGCGGUUGUCGUCUCCUCCUACUCCAUCGCAGAAGAAUGCUUCACGAAAAACGACAUCGUUUUGGCUAACCGACCAGAGUCCAUAGUCGGGAAAUACAUUGAGUACAACUUCACCACUGUGACCAGCGCGCCUUAUGGUGACCACUGGCGAAACUUGCGGCGUCUCAGCACCCUCGAGAUCUUCUCCUCGCACAAGCUCAAUGGCUUUAUAUCCGUCCGUAAGGACGAGAUCCGACACUUGCUACUUCGUCUCUCCAAAAACUCGCAACAUGUAUGUGAGCUUCUACAUAUUAGUACUCUAUGACUAUAUACAUUAUCAGAGUUUGUAACCUAGUAGUUUGUCUUAGUGUGGCCUCUAGGUCAUAACCUAUAUAUAUACAUUACUUGAAGAUCUGCUCAGAGUUUGUAACCUAGUAGUGUGGCCACUAAAUUAAAAGUCAUAACUUGAGUACCAUGCAACAAAAGUUUGAGAAUUAAUCAUUUGUUUAUUUGAUAAUAAAUUAGGGGUUUGCCAAGGUGGAGAUGAGAUCAUUGUUUAUGGAUUUGACUAUCAAUAACAUUCUCAGAAUGAUGGCUGGGAAAAGAUUUUAUGGUGAUGGAACAGAGCAAGACGACAAUGCACGGCGAGUGAGACAGCUUAUUGACGAGGUGGUAUCCUACGCCGGCGCCGGGAAUGCUACCGAUUAUAUCCCAAUCUUGCGUUGGAUCACAAGUUUUGAGAAACGGGUCAAGAACUUAGCGGGUCGGGUCGAUGAGUUCUUGCAGAGCCUGGUGGAUGAAAAACGUGCGGAUAAAGAAAAGGGCGACACUAUGAUGGAUCACUUGCUUUCUCUCCAAGAAAUCCAGCCUAAUUAUUACACAGAUAUCACUCUAAAGGGGAUUAUAGUUGUAAGUAUUUAUUUUCUACAUUUAUUAAUCUUGAAUAAUCUAUUUAAUAUAUAACAACACAAACUAAACAUUUGUUAAUUUAAUUUUUACAGGUUAUGAUACUUGCCGGAACUGAAACACUAACAGGAACAUUAGAAUGGGCUAUGUUGAAUUUGUUGAAUCAUCCAGAGGUAUUAACGAAAGUAAGAACCGAAAUCGAUACCAAAAUCGGUUUUGACCGGUUAAUAGAUGAACAAGAUAUUAAAAAGCUCCCUUAUCUCGAAGGGAUUGUGUUGGAGACCUUACGUCUCCACCCUGUAGCUCCUACACUUGUUCCACAUAUGACGUCAGAUGAUUGCAUGUUGGCCGGAUACGAUGUUCCAAGUGGAUCCAUGCUAUUGGUGAACGUAUGGGCCAUGCAUAGAGACCCGUCUCUAUGGGAAGAUCCAGAAAUGUUCAAGCCAGAGAGGUUCGAAAAUGAAAAUGAAAAUCAAAAGGUGUUGUCGUUUGGGAUUGGACGACGAUCAUGUCCCGGGGUUGGAUUAACUCAUCGGCUAGUGAGCUUGGCUCUUGGAUCGAUGGUUCAAUGUUUCGAAUGGGAGAGAAUUGGAGAAGAAUAUAUUGACACUAGAGAGGCACCUAUGAUGCGUCCAACUACCCCGUUGCAAGCCAUGUGUAAAACUUGUCCCAUUGUCCAUAAGAUUCUCGAUGCUUAUGCUUGAAUUGUAACUCUUCUUGGUUUGAUUUAUGUUCGGAAAUACUACAUCAACUUGUUUUGAGUUGGGAAAUAAUUCAAAAUCCUUCUAAGAACGCUCUCAUGCAAACUGUUGAAUGUAUCUUCAAGGUUCUGAUCACCAUCUAGCUGAGUCUUUACGGAAAAUUAGAUCGUCACUAAAUAUUAUCAUUUUACCUUCGAAUAUAUUGAUUUUGUUGCCCUGAUGAUACACUUGAAAUAAAUAAAAAACAACCAUAGAGACACUCAAAUAAAAAAAAAGCUCAUAGCUUUAAAAUUUCUUGUAUAUUUUGAAACUAAAAUUAAGCUAUAUUACUUAUACUGAUAUUCCAUUUCUUCACAGUAUGAUCUAAUGAUUUUUGCAAUCCUCUAUGCUUUUGUUGUUGCAAUUAUACUUAUAUCUCCAUUUCAUUACAGUAUGAUAUAUAUAUAUAUAUAUAUAUUGUAAGUUUUGCAAUCCUCUACAUAUCAUUCUUCCCACAGCUCUAUCUGAAAAUUCCAUAUAUAUGUUCAACUUAUCUCUCUUCGUGUGUUGUGAAUUGUGUAUUAGAUUUGAGUAUUACAUUUGUACUUUUACAAUUCUUUUUUUUUUUUAUAAUCUUGAAGUGCUCUAGGAAUUAUAAUUAUUAUAUCAUGUUGGAUUUUUAAGAAUUUUGGUUUUUAUGAUAUUUUGUAAAAAAUUAGAGAGUGAUGUGUUUCUAGGGACAAAAGACGAAGACUUGAAAAAUCAACCCUCGUCUUUUUCCUCAUCGUCCCAUUAGAAAUCUCAGUUUUCUCUUCAAUCUUAUCUUCUUCCUCAGAAUCCUCUUCACAUCGACCACAGGUUUCUUCAUCCAUCGACUUAUUGAAAUUUCUUGUAGUAUAAGUUAAACCAAAAUGUGUGGAAACUAUUCAACACAAAAGACUUUUCACUCUCUUCUUUCAACGUGAAUAACACUUCGUACGAAGGACUAAAUGGUGAGCCAAGCGAAGCUGAGUGGAUAUGGAGCACUGACUAUAUGUAUUUAAAGAGAUGGCAUGAAAACAAUUUAACCAUCACAAUUUCCAUUUGCUCGCUUCUUUUUCACUAUUGAUUUUCAAGAAAGUUAAAAAUUAGCUUAAAGAAAAAACGAAAGGCUCUUGAAACUCAAUGAGUACCAUUCAUAUUUCUCUUUCUUUUCUCCUCUUGUUCGUUUUUAGUUUUCAUGACGUGUUUGCUGCUCCUACUAGACACUUGUGUCGUCCGGAGCAAAGGGAUGCACUUCUCGAGUUCAAGAAUGAGUUUGAGAUUCGGAAGCCUUCUUUUGAGUGUUAUGUUAAUGGUAGCUAUGUGCGCCCUUACCCGAAGACGGAGUCAUGGGCAAAUAACACUGAUUGUUGUUAUUGGGAUGGGAUCAAGUGCGAUGCCAAAUCUGGGGAAGUGAUCGAGCUAGACCUCAGUUGCAGCUGUCUCUACGGCAAGUUUCGUUCCAAUACCAGUCUGUUUAGGCUUCACAGCUUUCGUUUUCUCACCACUUUAUACGUUUCAUAUAAUGAGUUACAUGGUCAAAUCCCGUUCUCAAUUGGAAAUCUUUCUCUUCUUACUUCUCUCGACCUUUCUUCCAAUGGGUUUUCGGGUCAGAUUCCAUCUUCAAUUGGAAAUCUAUCACUGCUUACCUUUCUGAGACUUUCUGAUAAUCAGUUUUCGGGUCAGAUUCCAUCUUCAAUUGGAAAUCUUUCACAGAUUACCACUCUCCGUUUUUCCUUUAAUCAGUUUUCGGGUCAGAUUCCGUCUUCAAUUGGAAAUCUUUCACUUCUUACCUCUCUUGAUCUUUCUUCCAAUCAGUUUUCGGGUGAGAUUCCAUCUUCAAUUGGAAAUCUUUCACUGCUUACCUCUCUCUAUCUUUCUUUCAAUCAGUUUUUGGGUCAGAUUCCAUCAUCAAUUGGAAAUCUUUCACUGCUCACCUCUCUCCAUCUUUCUUAUAAUGGGUUUUCGGGUGAGAUUCUAUCAUCAAUUGGAAAUCUUUCACUGCUCACCUCUCUUCAUCUUUCUUAUAAUGGGUUUUCGGGUGAGAUUCCAUCCUCAAUUAAAAAUCUUUCACAGCUCACCUUUCUCAAACUUUCUUCCAAUCAGUUUUCGGGUCAGAUUCCAUCUUCAAUUAAAAAGCUCUCUCAUCUCCAAACUCUUCACCUCAGAUAUAACAAAUUCACUGGUGAAAUCCCAGAUUCUUUUGCCAGUUUGAAAAAUUUGACCGAGUUAGAUGUUAGUUUCAAUAAGCUUAGUGGUAAUUUUCCAAUUUGGCUACUAAAUUUGACAAAGUUGUCGUAUUUAUCACUCGAAUACAAUCAACUCACAGGAACGCUUCCCUCAAACAUUAGCUCACUCUCCAACUUGCGAUAUUUUUGGGCACGUGACAAUGAUUUCGUUGGAACCAUUCCUUCUUCUCUCUUCACCAUUCCUUCUUUGACAAGAAUUUAUUUGUCAAAUAACCAACUCAACGGCACUCUUGAGUUUGGGAAUAUAUCUUCACCAACAAAGCUAGAGUGGUUAGAGCUUGGCGGUAACAACUUGAGAGGGCCAAUACCGAGAUCCAUUUCCAAAUUAGUCAACCUCCGGGGACUUUACCUUUCCAAUUGGAACACCCAAUUAGGCCCAAUUGACUUGAGUAUCUUCUCGCAUCUCAAGUCACUCGGAUUUCUUUACUUAUCCCAUUUGAACACCACCACCACGAUUGACUUGAAUGCCAUCUUAUCAUUUUUCAAGUCGCUCGAAGGAUUGGAUCUCUCAGGCAACCAUGUUUCAGCCGAAACCAAGAGCUCAGUUUCAGAUCCUCCUUCGCAAAUGAUACGAGAAUUAAACUUGUCAGGCUGCGGUAUUACCGAAUUUCCAGAGAUCAUAAGAACCCUGCAGUCUAUGGAGAGACUAGACAUUUCCGACAACAAAAUCAAAGGUCAAGUGCCUGGCUGGUUAUGGACUCCACCAAAUCUGACGUACGUGAAUCUUUCCAACAACACUUUCGUCAGUUUCGGAAGACCAACGAAACAUGGACUAUCCUCUGGCUUGUGGUACUUGUCUGGCUCCAGAAACAAUUUCACGGGAAAGAUUCCCUCCUUCAUAUGUGCGUUGGGCUCUCUAAGCGUUCUCGAUUUAUCUGAAAACAACUUCACGGGAAAGAUUCCCUCCUUCAUAUGCGCGUUGGGCUCUCUAAGCGUUCUCGAUUUAUCUGAAAACAACUUCAAUGGUUCAAUCCCUCUUUGUAUGGAGAAUCUCAAGAGUAAUCUUUCGGUUCUAAACCUCCGUCAGAAUCAUCUUAGCGGAGGCCUUCCGGAGAAUGUAUUUGAAAGUCUAAGGUCCCUUGACGUUGGUCAUAACCAACUGGUGGGAAAGCUUCAAAGAUCUUUGAUCCAUUUCUCUGCCCUUGAAGUUCUAAAUCUGGAAAGCAACAGAUUCAACGACACCUUUCCGUUUUGGUUGAGUUCUCUACAAAACCUGCAAGUUCUUGUCUUACGCUCCAAUGCAUUCCAUGGACCGAUUCAUCGAGCCUCCUUCCUUCAGCUGAAAAUCAUGGACAUCUCGCAUAAUCACUUCAACGGAGUUUUACCGUCGGAUUACUUUGUGAACUGGAGUAAAAUGUCAUCACUUGGGACAGAAAAAGAUCGGUCGGAUGUAAACUACAUGGGAGAAGGUACCUAUUACGAAGAUUCAAUGGUUUUGAUGAAUAAAGGCUUAGAGAUGGAGCUGGUACGUAUAUUAAAAAUCUUCACAGCACUCGACUUCUCCGGAAAUAGAUUUGAAGGAGAGAUUCCAAGGUCCAUCGGCCUAUUGAGAGAGCUUCACGUGCUCAACUUGUCAAACAAUGCUUUCACUGGCCACAUUCCAUCAUCUAUGGGGAACCUGACAGCUCUCGAGUCACUUGACGUUUCCCAAAACAAGCUUUCAGGUGAGAUCCCACAAGAGCUAGGGAAUCUCUCGUACCUUUCUUCCAUGAACUUCUCUCAUAACCAGCUUGUCGGUCUAGUACCUGGAGGCACUCAGUUUCGAACGCAGCCUUGCUCUUCCUUCGAACACAACUCAGGACUUUUUGGCCCUUCUCUUGACGAAGUUUGCAAAGAUAUCCACAAGCCAUCAUCGCAAGAGUAUGAAACACCGGAGGAGGCAGAGGAAGAAGACGAAGAGGUGUUUAGUUGGAUUGCAGCUGCAAUAGGAUUUGGACCUGGCAUUGUAUUAGGAUUGACGAUUGGAUACAUAUUGGCCUUCUACAAACCGAGGUGGUUCACGAGUCCUUUUGGCCGAAACAAACACAGAAGCAGAAGCACCACAGCUCAUUAAGUGAGGUAAUCUUCUGAAUUUCAUAGAUUAUAGACUAUGUAUAGUAUAAUGAAUUUUUCUGGGUUAAUGUAUACUGUAUGUGAAAAUUAACUUUUUACGCCGUUUUUGUUUGUAUAGCGUUCUUAAACCCAAGAUGAAAAAUCUUUGAAAAAGAGAAUGAAGCAACCAGACCAUAGGACUGUAGAGAAAGAAGCUUGGGGAGAAGGCAACCCAUUUUAUCAAAAACUAAAUAUCAGUGAUUGUUUCCGGUUUAGUUUUGUGUGUUUAUCAUAUACUCUGUUUUUAGCCAAUGUUUUUGUUUCUCUGUAAUUGAACAAUGAAAGACUGUUUACAAAGCUCAAACUUAUUCCUAUUUCUCUGUGAUUGGACAUGAUUUGAGAGAGGUUAUAAUGCUCUUGCUCCGACUAAAUCAAUCAUUCUUCUGCCAAAUGAAGAACUAAGAUUCAACACACAUCUCAGAAAAUUGAUCCUUUUUCUCUUUUGGUAAUAUUAAUUAGCUGAGUAAAAUGAUAACUUAAUUAGUUUAUUGAAAGAUAUUUCACUGAGAAAUAUAUUAGUUAGUGGCGAUCAGGAUCAGCGACCAAUUAAAGCUAUAGAUAUAGUUGCUUAAAACCCAAGCUUUGCCAUUACAAUGAGGAAAAAAAAUCAUCUCACAAAUCAUUCCACUUUCCAACUACUGAAACUCUACAAUAGUCAAAUGACUCAAAUCGGAAUAAGAAAGUUAUACAUACACACAUAAUUUAAGGUCACAAUGACAAAAUCGUCGGUCUUACCAAAAAGAGUAUAAGUAUUCAUCAAAAGACAUCUUCUAAAAUGAAUUAUAUUAAAAAAAUUUGGUGAAAACAAACAAGAAAUUUUUACUGCUUAAUUAUUUUUGUUUUUAAAAACCAAAAGGUAAAUGGAAGUCGCUCUAAUUUUUACUUAUAAACCAAAACAAGAAAUUUUCAGUUAUAUCGUUCUAAGAUGAUGCAAUUGAUAGUAUAAUCUAUACGACUCUAUACUCCACUGAUACUUUUUCGUUUUUAAGCAGACAACUUUUCAGAGUACAAAUCUUUUGUUAUUUUUAUUCCUGGGAGAUGUAUAUCCUAUAAACAAAACUGUGUUAAAUGGAAGGACUUCAUGGACACCAAAACCAGAGGAGAAACGAAGACAGACGGUUUAGAAAUAUUUUGAUCACAUCCAAAAAAUAUAAUUCGAUAUUUUUUAUCAGAUUAAAGAAAAAACGUAUCAUUUUGAUCACAUCACAAAGUCAGUGCAAAAUCACAUCCAAAAAACUGUGAUAAUUUUGAUCACAUCACAAAGUCAGUGCAAAAUCAUAUAAAAAAAAUUCGAAUAAAGAAAAAACGUAUCAUGCCAAACGAAACCAAACAAAUAAAUAGAUAACAGUUGACUGACCGAGUCAGUCAUGGACAAAAACGAAGACUUGAAAAGUCAACUCCGGUCUUCUUCCUUAUUGUCCCACCAAUAAUUUACUUUUUUUCCUUCAAUCUCAUCUUCUUCCUCAAUCCUCUGAACAUCGACCACAUAUUUCUUCAUCCAUUGACCUCAAAACUUGACUUUCAUAGUUUCACUAUUGACUCUCUUUCUUUCUCUCUCUCUCUCUAGAUUUUCCAACAAAGCUAUGGAGAAACUCUGUUUUCGAAACUCAUUUUCUCUCUUUAUGACGACUGUGGUCAUUAUUCUUCUUCCUCGUUGCACUCUUUCUGCUACUUCUAUAUAUUCUCAUCGUCCCGAGAAGUUUUACGUCAACUGUGGGUCGGAUUCUAUUGUCACUUAUGGUGGUCGGACCUUCGUCGGAGAUAUGAUCUCCGGUGGCAACUCCGUUUCUUUCAACAGUAAAGGAACUGAAGCCAUCAAUCAAUCAGGAUCAGGAAUCUAUGAAACGGUUAGGAUAUUCAGACGCCCUUCUUCUUACAAGUUCCAACUCGAUUCCAUUGGUCUGCACUUCGUGCGUCUCCAUUUCUCUGCUGUCUCUUCUCGGACAGAGCUUUUAACUGCUCGUUUCACAGUCUCAGCUACUUCUCACUUGAAAAGUUUCUCGCUUCAGAAUUUCAAUGAGACCCCACGAGUUGAGGAGUUUCUCCUGAUGAUUGACUCGCCAGAAUUCGAAAUUCGAUUUGUGCCCGAUCAUUCAUCCAUGGCUUUUGUCAACGCCAUCGAAGUGUUCUCUGCUCCUAAUGACCUAGAAAUUCCGUCAGACUCCGACAAGAAUCUGCAUACGGUUUACAGAUUAAACGUAGGAGGCAAGAAGAUCACACCAGAAAACGACACCUUGGGAAGAACUUGGUCAGUUGACGAGGACUUCCUCUACGAAAAAGAUUCUGCGAGGAACAUUAAUUCAACACAAAAGCCUAACUACGAGUCAGGGACAGCGACGCCAUUCACUGCUCCUGAUUUUGUCUAUCAGACAGCGAAAACGAUGAACCAUAGCUCGAAUGAGGGGAUGGCAGAUGGGAUGUUGAUGAACGUUACUUGGUCAUUUAAGGUCAAUAGCAACUCUAGACACUUACAUCAGGGUUCACUUCUGUGAUAUCAAGAGUGAAUCACAAAAUCCCGACUCCGAUUUCUAUCUCUAUGUAAACGGACAAUCACGACUAGAUGUAAAGCCUUCAGAGCGUAUUAGGUUGGUGACUCCGUUUUUCAAAGAUGUGAAUGUCUCUGAUGGUUUUGGACUCUUGAAUGUUACAAUAGGUACUAAGGAUUCCACUAAGGAUGCUGGUUUUCUGAAUGGUCUGGAGGUGAUGGAGUUUUUGAAAAAGUCAGAUUCUUCAGAUAAAAGUAGUUUCCGGGUUUACAUCAUCGCUGGCUGUGUUGUUGCUGCAUCGGUUCUGGUGUUGAGUUUGUUGUUCACAGUCUUCUUGAAGCGGAGGAGACUGAAGAAGGAGAAGAAGUCAGAUGCUGAGGUCACUGAAUGGUCUCCUUUGCCAUUGUACAGAGGUGCUGGGAGUUCCGACAAUAGACCUUCUGAUCCGGUCAACAAUUCUCCAUUACGCAGCAAUAGAACAUUUGAUCCGGUCUACAAUUCGCCAUUACGCAACCUAAACUUAGGCUUGACCAUUCCCUUCAUAGACAUUAUGAGAGCUACAAACAAUUUCGACGAGCAGCGGUUGAUCGGGAGAGGCGGUUUUGGAGACGUUUACAAAGCCAUUCUUCAAGAUGGAAGCAAAGCGGCUAUCAAGAGAGGCAAGAGUGGUUCAGGACAAGGAAUAUUGGAGUUUCAAACAGAGAUUCAAGUCCUGUCGAGAAUCCGGCACAGGCACCUCGUUUCUCUAACGGGUUACUGCGAAGAGAACUCGGAGAUGAUCCUUGUCUACGAGUUUAUGGAGAAAGGUACGCUUAAAGAGCAUCUAUACGGCUCGGAUUUGCCUUCACUGACAUGGAAACAGAGACUAGAGAUCUGCAUCGGAG